AGGAUGAACGCUAGCUACAGGCUUAACACAUGCAAGUCGAGGGGCAGCAUCAUCAAAGCUUGCUUUGAUGGAUGGCGACCGGCGCACGGGUGAGUAACACGUAUCCAACCUGCCGACAACACUGGGAUAGCCUUUCGAAAGAAAGAUUAAUACCGGAUGGCAUAAUUAUUCCGCAUGGGAUAAUUAUUAAAGAAUUUCGGUUGCCGAUGGGGAUGCGUUCCAUUAGGCAGUUGGCGGGGUAACGGCCCACCAAACCUACGAUGGAUAGGGGUUCUGAGAGGAAGGUCCCCCACAUUGGAACUGAGACACGGUCCAAACUCCUACGGGAGGCAGCAGUGAGGAAUAUUGGUCAAUGGACGAGAGUCUGAACCAGCCAAGUAGCGUGAAGGAUGACUGCCCUAUGGGUUGUAAACUUCUUUUAUACGGGAAUAAAGUUAGCCACGUGUGGUUUUUUGUAUGUACCGUAUGAAUAAGGAUCGGCUAACUCCGUGCCAGCAGCCGCGGUAAUACGGAGGAUCCGAGCGUUAUCCGGAUUUAUUGGGUUUAAAGGGAGCGUAGGCGGGUUGUUAAGUCAGUUGUGAAAGUUUGCGGCUCAACCGUAAAAUUGCAGUUGAUACUGGCGACCUUGAGUGCAACAGAGGUAGGCGGAAUUCGUGGUGUAGCGGUGAAAUGCUUAGAUAUCACGAAGAACUCCGAUUGCGAAGGCAGCUCACUGGACUGCAACUGACACUGAUGCUCGAAAGUGUGGGUAUCAAACAGGAUUAGAUACCCUGGUAGUCCACACAGUAAACGAUGAAUACUCGCUGUUUGCGAUAUACAGUAAGCGGCCAAGCGAAAGCAUUAAGUAUUCCACCUGGGGAGUACGCCGGCAACGGUGAAACUCAAAGGAAUUGACGGGGGGCCCGCACAAGCGGAGGAACAUGUGGUUUAAUUCGAUGAUACGCGAGGAACCUUACCCGGGCUUAAAUUGCAUUUGAAUAUAUUGGAAACAGUAUAGCCGUAAGGCAAAUGUGAAGGUGCUGCAUGGUUGUCGUCAGCUCGUGCCGUGAGGUGUCGGCUUAAGUGCCAUAACGAGCGCAACCCUUAUCUUUAGUUACUAACAGGUCAUGCUGAGGACUCUAGAGAGACUGCCGUCGUAAGAUGUGAGGAAGGUGGGGAUGACGUCAAAUCAGCACGGCCCUUACGUCCGGGGCUACACACGUGUUACAAUGGGGGGUACAGAAGGCAGCUACCUGGUGACAGGAUGCUAAUCCCAAAAGCCUCUCUCAGUUCGGAUCGAAGUCUGCAACCCGACUUCGUGAAGCUGGAUUCGCUAGUAAUCGCGCAUCAGCCAUGGCGCGGUGAAUACGUUCCCGGGCCUUGUACACGCCGCCCGUCAAGCCAUGAAAGCCGGGGGUACCUGAAGUACGUAACCGCAAGGAGCGUCCUAGGGUAAAACUGGUAAU
rnacentral:rRNA from 1 species